UGGAAGGAAAAAAACGUAAUAAGGUCUCCGUUGGUGAACCAGCGGAGGGAUCAUUACUGAGUUACCGCUCAUCAACCCUUUGUGAACAUACCUUAACUGUUGCUUCGGCGGGUAGGCGUCCCCUAAAAAGGACGUCUCCCGGCCCUCUCCCGUCCGCGGGUGGGGCGCCCGCCGGAGGAUAACCAAACUCUGAUUUAACGACGUUUCUUCUGAGUGACACAAGCAAACAAUCAAAACUUUUAACAACGGAUCUCUUGGUUCUGGCAUCGAUGAAGAACGCAGCGAAAUGCGAUAAGUAAUGUGAAUUGCAGAAUUCAGUGAAUCAUCGAAUCUUUGAACGCACAUUGCGCCCGCCAGCAUUCUGGCGGGCAUGCCUGUUCGAGCGUCAUUUCAACCCUCAAGCUCUGCUUGGUGUUGGGGCUCUACGGUUGACGUAGGCCCUUAAAGGUAGUGGCGGACCCUCUCGGAGCCUCCUUUGCGUAGUAACAUUUCGUCUCGCAUUGGGAUUCGGAGGGACUCUAGCCGUAAAACCCCCAAUUUUACUAAGGUUGACCUC
rnacentral:rRNA from 1 species